rnacentral:lncRNA from 1 species
GUGGUGGUGAAGGAGGAAGAGCUGGACGUGGAGCCGUGGAUGUGGAUCAAAAGUUGGAAGGUAUGGAGGAGGUGACGGUGGAGGAACUAAUGGUUUAAGUGGAACUUGUGUAAUUGGAUAUGAAAAUUGUGGUGGUGAAAGAAGUGGUUAGCAGUCAUGGAGCCGGUGGAGGGUCUUAUCGUGGUAGUGCUUACGUAGGCAGGUAAUGGAGGAGCUUAUGGCAUAGGAGGAGGAGCUAAUGGCGUCAGUGGAGCUUGCAGAUGUGGAUAUAAAAGUUGUGGUUGCGAAAGAAGUGGUUAGCAGUGAUGGAGCCGGUGGAGGGUCUUAUCGUGGUAGUGCUUACGUAGGCAGGUAAUGGAGGAGCUUAUGGCAGAGGAGGAGGAGCUAAUGGCGUCAGUGGAGCUUGCAGAUGUGGAUAUGAAAGUUGUGGUUGCGAAAGAAGUGGUUAGCGGUCAUGGAGGCGGUUGAAGGUUUUAUGGUGUUGGUUUUUACGAAGGCUGAAGGAAGAGGAACCAGAGGCGGGGAAAGAUUAACAGUUUUACCCUCUGGUGGCAGUAGAGGAAGUGGUGAUGGAGAAGCUUAUGGCGGAGGUGGAGUUUAUAGCGGGAUAGUUAUGGAAGUGGUAGUGGUGAAGGAGGUGGUAUGGUGGUACAAAAGAAAGAUACCUCAGUGGUGGUUAAGGAGGUAGUUAUGGAUAGUCCACAAUUUGAAAUCGGUUUCAUGACCACACUUUCUCUGACCACAUGAACGAAAUUAAAUGAAGGUUAUAAUAGACAUUUUACUCCACCUUUUCCUGCACAAAGUAUACCUCCAGCUUGAAGUAUGUCAAAGUGUAAUACAACACCUUUAAAGUAUGUC